rnacentral:rRNA from 1 species
UACGUAGGGUGCAAGCGUUGUCCGGAAUUAUUGGGCGUAAAGAGCUUGUAGGCGGUUUGUCGCGUCUGCUGUGAAAUUUCGGGGCUCAACCCCGAACUUGCAGUGGGUACGGGCAGACUAGAGUGUGGUAGGGGGAGACUGGAAUUCCUGGUGGUAGCGGUGAAAUGCGCAGAUAUCAGGAGGAACACCGGUGGCGAAGGCGGGUCUCUGGGCCGAAACUGACGCUGAGGAGCGAAAGCGUGGGGAGCGAACAGG